rnacentral:rRNA from 1 species
GGUGGGAUGUAACACAGAUUAAGGUAAGAACAUCCUCAUUGAGGCUUAUUCCGAAUUUGGGGAAUUUUUCCCCAAUGGGGCGAAAGCCUGACGGAGCCAAUACCGCGUGAAGGAAGGAAGGCUUUUGGGGUUGUAAACCUCUUUUCUCAAGGAAUAAUGCAAUGAAGGUACUUGAGGAAUCAGCAUUGGGUUACUCCGUGCCAGCAGCCGCGGUUAUACGGAGGAUGCAAGCGUUAUUCGGAAUGAUUGGGGGUAAAGCGUCCGCAGGUGGCAGUGUAAGUCUGUUGUUAAAGAGCAAAGCUCAACUUUGUAAAGGCAGGGGAAACUACACAGCUAGAGUACGUUCGGGGCAGAGGGAAUUCCUGGUGUAGCGGUGAAAUGCGUAGAGAUCAGGAAGAACACCGGUGGCGAAAGCGCUCUGCUAGGCCGUAACUGACACUGAGGGACGAAAGCUAGGGGAGCGAAUGGGAUUAGAUACCCCAGUAGUCCUAGCCGUAAACGAUGGAUACUAGGCGUUGCUUGUAUCGACCCGAGCAGUGCCGUAGCUAACGCGUUAAGUAUCCCGCCUGGGGAGUACGCACGCAAGUGUGAAACUCAAAGGAAUUGACGGGGGGCCGCACAAGCGGUGGAGUAUGUGGUUUAAUUUGAUGCAACGCGGAAGAAUCCUUAACCAAGGAGCUUGACAUGUCGGCGAAUCUGCCUAAAGGGGAGAGUCCUUUGGGAGGGGGAACAACAGGGUGGUGCAUAGUGUUGUCAGCAUUGGUAAAAUUCCACAGCAAUCACAUAAUACGGAAAA